rnacentral:rRNA from 1 species
UGGGGAAUAUUGGACAAUGGGGGCAACCCUGAUCCAGCGAUGCCGCGUGUGUGAAGAAGGCCUGCGGGUUGUAAAGCACUUUAGGUUUGGAAGAGAGUUUAUUGGUUAAGAGCUGAUAGAUGAGACGGUACAGACAGAAUAAGCACUGGCUAACUCUGUGCCAGCAGCCGCGGUAAUACAGAGAGUGCAAGCGUUAAUCGGAAUAACUGGGCGUAAAGGGCGCGUAGGUGGUGAUUUAAGUGAGUUGUGAAAUACCCGUGCUCAACAUGGGGGAGCCAACUCAAACUGAGUGACUAGAGAGCAGUAGAGGGAGGUGGAAUUUUCGGAGUAGCGGUGAAAUGCGUAGAGACCGGAAGGAACACUAGAGGCGAAGGCGGCCUCCUGGGCUGUAUCUGACACU